rnacentral:rRNA from 1 species
UACGAAGGGGCUAGCGUUGCUCGGAAUCACUGGGCGUAAAGGGUGCGUAGGCGGGUCUUUAAGUCAGGGGUGAAAUCCUGGAGCUCAACUCCAGAACUGCCUUUGAUACUGAGGAUCUUGAGUUCGGGAGAGGUGAGUGGAACUGCGAGUGUAGAGGUGAAAUUCGUAGAUAUUCGCAAGAACACCAGUGGCGAAGGCGGCUCACUGGCCCGAGUACUGACGCUGAGGCACGAAAGCGUGGGGA